rnacentral:tRNA from 13 species
ACCAAAUGACAAAAGGAAUAAGAGAAGAAGAAGGGGAAUUUUCCCCUAAGAGUGGCACACAAAAUCGUUUGUAUCUUUUCCGACUUCGACUCUCUUCUUUCUUGCUCUCUUCUUUCCCCUCA